ACCCAUGUUUUUGUUGUUGUGCGAGUUUUGCCGACUAAAUCAGUCACCCACAACACAGGUUUUCUAAUCUAAAUAGAUAAAGAAUGUUUUGUUACAGUUACACUCACAAUGCUUGAUUCUUUGUCAAGUAGUAGCCAGUCCCGCUGAGAUCCUGUGUAUUUCCCAUCAAGCAUAAUUCUAAAGAGGACAUCUAUCUGGUCGCACAUCAGACACUUUGAACUGAGCACACCAUUGUCAAUGCAGACCUUCCUAAUAUGGUCUCGUGUUUCUACUAGCAUUUCGCAUGUCAUCAAUCAGUACAUCCAAAAUACAACAGUUCUACGAUGAAUAUUGAAGCGGCAUAUAGUGCACGGA